rnacentral:rRNA from 1 species
GAUGAACGCUAGCGGGAUGCUUAACACAUGCAAGUCGAACGAGAAUUCGUCUUCGGACGAAGGAAAGUGGCAAACGGGCGAGUAACGCGUACUUAAUCUAGCCAGAAGAUGGGAACAACUACGGAGACGUAGCUAAUUCCCAAUAAUCCCAUAUGAAUGAAAAUAUUAUGGGCAAAGAUUUAUCGCUUUUGGAGGAGGGUGCGUCCUAUCAGGUAGUUGGUGGGGUAAGAGCCUACCAAGCCUAUGACGGGUAGUCGGUCUGAGAGGAUGUCCGACCGCAAUGGGACUGAGACACGGCCCAUACUCCUACGGGAGGCAGCAGUGGGGAAUUUUGCGUAAUGGGCGAAAGCCUGACGCAGCAAUCCCGCGUGAAGGAUGAAGCAUUAUGGUGUGUAAACUUCUUUUCUGGUGGAAGACGAAUGACGGUACACCAGGAAUAAAGGACGGCUAACUACGUGCCAGCAGCCGCGGUAAUACGUAGGUCCUAAGUGUUAUCCGGAUUUACUGGGCGUAAAGAGUCUGUAGCCGGAUAAGUAAGUCUAUUUUCAAAUCCUAUGGCUUAACCAUAGAAAGGGAAUAGAUACUGCUUAUCUAGAGAUUGUUAGGGGUUAGUGGAAUUUCCGGUGGAGCGGUGAAAUGCGUUGAUAUCGGAAGGAACGACGAAAGCGAAAGCAGCUAACUAUAACAAAUCUGACGGUCAGAGACGAAAGCUUGGGGAGCAAACAGGAUUAGAUACCCUGGUAGUCCAAGCCGUAAAUUAUGCUUGCUAGGUCCUUCGUUCCGAUUUAUCGGGAUGGAGUGCCGCAAUCUAACGAGUUAAGCAAGCCGCCUGGGUAGUAUAUUCGCAAGAAUGAAACUCAA